rnacentral:rRNA from 1 species
AGUGAACGCUGGCGGUAGGCCUAACACAUGCAAGUCGAACGGCAGCACAGUAAGAGCUUGCUCUUACGGGUGGCGAGUGGCGGACGGGUGAGGAAUACAUCGGAAUCUACUUUUUCGUGGGGGAUAACGUAGGGAAACUUACGCUAAUACCGCAUACGACCUACGGGUGAAAGCAGGGGAUCUUCGGACCUUGCGCGAUUGAAUGAGCCGAUGUCGGAUUAGCUAGUUGGCGGGGUAAAGGCCCACCAAGUCGACGAUCCGUAGCUGGUCUGAGAGGAUGAUCAGCCACACUGGAACUGAGACACGGUCCAGACUCCUACGGGAGGCAGCAGUGGGGAAUAUUGGACAAUGGGCGCAAGCCUGAUCCAGCCAUCCCGCGUGGGUGAAGAAGGCCUUCGGGUUGUAAAGCCCUUUUGUUGGGAAAGAAAAGCAGCAGGUUAAUACCCCGCUGUUCUGACGGUACCCAAAGAAUAAGCACCGGCUAACUUCGUG